rnacentral:rRNA from 1 species
AGUGAACGCUGGCGGUAGGCCUAACACAUGCAAGUCGAACGGCAGCACAGUAAGAGCUUGCUCUUACGGGUGGCGAGUGGCGGACGGGUGAGGAAUAUAUCGGAAUCUACUUUUUCGUGGGGGAUAACGUAGGGAAACUUACGCUAAUACCGCAUACGACCUACGGGUGAAAGCAGGGGAUCUUCGGACCUUGCGCGAUUGAAUGAGCCGAUGUCGGAUUAGCUAGUUGGCGGGGUAAAGGCCCACCAAGGCGACGAUCCGUAGCUGGUCUGAGAGGAUGAUCAGCCACACUGGAACUGAGACACGGUCCAGACGCCUACGGGAGGCAGCAGUGGGGAAUAUUGGACAAUGGGCGCAAGCCUGAUCCAGCCAUACCGCGUGGGUGAAGAAGGCGUUCGGGUUGUAAAGCCCUUUUGUUGGGAAAGAAAAGCAGCAGGUUAAUACCCCGCUGUUCUGACGGUACCCAAAGAAUAAGCACCGGCUAACUUCGUG